ACUCCCAUGGCGUAGUGGGUCACUGCGCCUCGCCUUGCACGCGGGAGACCCGGGUUCGAUUCCCGGCGGAGUC
rnacentral:tRNA from 1 species